rnacentral:lncRNA from 1 species
CUAUUCUACUUUGCAUAAUAUUGCAUGAAUAAUUCAAUAGGUUAUAGGCAGCAACAGUAGAGAAUAUAAUAGCUAUUGCAUAAUAAAAUUAAAUAAGUAGCUUCAAUAAAAUGAUCAUAAUGUAAUAUUGGAAAGAAAAAAAAAACAAAAGAAAUGUGAAAAGGAAAUAAAUGCGAACAUGAAUUCAAAUAACAUUAAUGAAUAAUCUAACUUAAAACUAGAUAGCUAAGAAAAAU